rnacentral:rRNA from 1 species
CCUACGGGAGGCUGCAGUGGGGAAUAUUGCACAAUGGGCGCAAGCCUGAUGCAGCAACGCCGCGUGAGGGACGACGGCCUUCGGGUUGUAAACCUCUUUUAGCAGGGAAGAAGCGAAAGUGACGGUACCAGCAGAAAAAGCACCGGCUAACUACGUGCCAGCAGCCGCGGUAAUACGUAGGGUGCAAGCGUUGUCCGGAAUUAUUGGGCGUAAAGAGCUCGUAGGCGGUUUGUCGCGUCUGCUGUGAAAACCCGAGGCUCAACCUCGGGCCUGCAGUGGGUACGGGCAGACUAGAGUGCGGUAGGGGAGAUUGGAAUUCCUGGUGUAGCGGUGGAAUGCGCAGAUAUCAGGAGGAACACCGAUGGCGAAGGCAGAUCUCUGGGCCGUAACUGACGCUGAGGAGCGAAAGCGUGGGGAGCGAACAGGAUUAGAUACCCUAGUAGUCAU